rnacentral:rRNA from 1 species
UACGUAGGGUGCAAGCGUUGUCCGGAAUUAUUGGGCGUAAAGAGCUCGUAGGCGGUUUGUCGCGUCUGCUGUGAAAACUCGGGGCUUAACUCCGGGCCUGCAGUGGGUACGGGCAGACUAGAGUGCGGUAGGGGAGACUGGAAUUCCUGGUGUAGCGGUGAAAUGCGCAGAUAUCAGGAGGAACACCGGUGGCGAAGGCGGGUCUCUGGGCCGUAACUGACGCUGAGGAGCGAAAGCGUGGGGAGCGAACAGGAUUAGAACCGUACGUAGUCAGACCAAGAUCCAUC